rnacentral:rRNA from 1 species
UACGUAGGUGGCAAGCGUUGUCCGGAUUUACUGGGCGUAAAGAGCGCGCAGGCGGUCGGAUAAGUCGAAUGUGAAAGCCCCCGGCUCAACUGGGGAGGGUCAUUCGAUACUGUUCGACUCGAAGGCAGGAGAGGGAAGUGGAAUUCCCGGUGUAGUGGUGAAAUGCGUAGAUAUCGGGAGGAACACCAGUGGCGAAGGCGGCUUCCUGGCCUGUUCUUGACGCUGAGGCGCGAAAGCUAGGGGAGCAAACGGG